rnacentral:rRNA from 1 species
AUUGAACGCUGGCGGCAGGCCUAACACAUGCAAGUCGAGCGGAUGAAGGGAGCUUGCUCCUGGAUUCAGCGGCGGACGGGUGAGUAAUGCCUAGGAAUCUGCCUGGUAGUGGGGGAUAACGUCCGGAAACGGGCGCUAAUACCGCAUACGUCCUGAGGGAGAAAGUGGGGGAUCUUCGGACCUCACGCUAUCAGAUGAGCCUAGGUCGGAUUAGCUAGUUGGUGGGGUAAAGGCCUACCAAGGCGACGAUCCGUAACUGGUCUGAGAGGAUGAUCAGUCAAACUGGACUUGAGCAACGGCCAGGCUCCUAACGGGAGGAACAAGGGGGGAAAAUUGACAAUUGGCGGAAACCCGGACCAACCAAGCCGGGGGGGGUGAAGAAGGCUUCCGGUUUGUAAAGACUUUAAGGUUGGGAGGAAGGGAAGUAGGUAAAACCUUGGUUGUUUGGCCGUUACAACAAGAAUAAGACCCGCUAAAUUCCUU